rnacentral:rRNA from 1 species
UGAGGAAUAUUGGGUCAAUGGACGGAAGUCUGAACCAGCCAAGUAGCGUGCAGGAUGACGGCCCUAUGGGUUGUAAACUGCUUUUAUGCGGGGAUAAAGUGGGCUACGUGUAGCCUAUUGCAGGUACCGCAUGAAUAAGGACCGGCUAAUUCCGUGCCAGCAGCCGCGGUAAUACGGAAGGUCCGGGCGUUAUCCGGAUUCAUUGGGUUUAAAGGGAGCGUAGGCCGCCUUUUAAGCGUGUUGUGAAAUGUCCUGGCUCAACCAGGGCACUGCAGCGCGAACUGGAGGGCUUGAGUGCGCACGACGCAGGCGGAAUUCGUGGUGUAGCGGUGAAAUGCUUAGAUAUCACGAAGAACCCCGAUUGCGAAGGCAGCUUGCGAGAGCGCUACUGACGCUGAAGCUCGAAGGUGCGG